GGAUGGGUGGCCGAGUGGUUUAAGGCACCGGUCUUGAAAACCGGCGUGCCCGCAAGGGCACCGUGAGUUCGAAUCUCACCCCAUCCGCCA
rnacentral:tRNA from 1 species